rnacentral:rRNA from 1 species
UAGAGUUUGAUCCUGGCUCAGGAUGAACGCUGGCGGCGUGCCUAACACAUGCAAGUCGAGCGAUUUACUUCGGUAAAGAGCGGCGGACGGGUGAGUAACGCGUGGGUAACCUGCCCCCGAGAGCGGGAUAGCCCUGGGAAACUGGGAUUAAUACCGCAUAGUAUCGAAAGAUUAAAGCAGCAAUGCGCUUGGGGAUGGGCUCGCGGCCUAUUAGUUAGUUGGUGAGGUAACGGCUCACCAAGGCGAUGACGGGUAGCCGGUCUGAGAGGAUGUCCGGCCACACUGGAACUGAGACACGGUCCAGACACCUACGGGUGGCAGCAGUCGAGAAUCAUUCACAAUGGGGGAAACCCUGAUGGUGCGACGCCGCGUGGGGGAAUGAAGGUCUUCGGAUUGUAAACCCCUGUCAUGUGGGAGCAAAUUAAAAAGAUAGUACCACAAGAGGAAGAGACGGCUAACUCUGUGCCAGCAGCCGCGGUAAUACAGAGGUCUCAAGCGUUGUUCGGAAUCACUGGGCGUAAAGCGUGCGUAGGCUGUUUCGUAAGUCGUGUGUGAAAGGCGCGGGCUCAACCCGCGGACGGCACAUGAUACUGCGAGACUAGAGUAAUGGAGGGGGAACCGGAAUUCUCGGUGUAGCAGUGAAAUGCGUAGAUAUCGAGAGGAACACUCGUGGCGAAGGCGGGUUCCUGGACAUUAACUGACGCUGAGGCACGAAGGCCAGGGGAGCGAAAGGGAUUAGAUACCCCUGUAGUCCUGGCAGUAAACGGUGCACGCUUGGUGUGCGGGGAAUCGACCCCCUGCGUGCCGGAGCUAACGCGUUAAGCGUGCCGCCUGGGGAGUACGGUCGCAAGAUUAAAACUCAAAGAAAUUGACGGGGAUCCGCACAAGCGGUGGAGUAUGUGGCUUAAUUCGAUGCAACGCGAAGAACCUUACCUGGGCUUGACAUGUAAUGAACAACAUGUGAAAGCAUGCGACUCUUCGGAGGCGUUACACAGGUGCUGCAUGGCCGUCGUCAGCUCGUGUCGUGAGAUGUUUGGUUAAGUCCAGCAACGAGCGCAACCCCUGUUGCCAGUUACCAGCACGUGAAGGUGGGGACUCUGGCGAGACUGCCCAGAUCAACUGGGAGGAAGGUGGGGACGACGCCAGGUCAGUAUGGCCCUUAUGCCCAGGGCUGCACACGUACUACAAUGCCCAGUACGGAGGGGGCCGAAGCCGCGAGGCGGAGGAAAUCCUAAAAACUGGGCCCAGUUCGGACUGUAGGCUGCAACCCGCCUACACGAAGCCGGAAUCGCUAGUAAUGGCGCAUCAGCUACGGCGCCGUGAAUACGUUCCCGGGUCUUGUACUCACCGCCCGUCA